rnacentral:rRNA from 1 species
AGAAUCAACGCUGGCGGCGUGCCUAACACAUGCAAGUCGCACGAGAAAGGGUAGCAAUACCUGAGUAAAGUGGCGCACGGGUGAGUAACACGUGAAUUAUCUACCUCCGAGUGGGGAAUAACUGAGAGAAAUCUUAGCUAAUACCGCAUAACACUUACGAGUCAAAGCAGCAAUGCGCUUGGAGAGGAGUUCGCGGCAGAUUAGUUAGUUGGCGGGGUAAUGGCCCACCAAGACGAUGAUCGGUA